rnacentral:snoRNA from 1 species
CCCCUCUCAGGAUCGUACCUAGAGAGUUUCCAGUACUAUACCAGUUUCGACUACGAGAGGGAGAGUCAAGCAGAGGCCUACCCAUUCCAUUUCUAGCUUGGCCAGUGGCUAGUGAGUGGAAGACAAUCUGUUACAAGU